rnacentral:tRNA from 1 species
GGGCAGGCUGAGCACGAGUGAGCUCAGCAGUCUGUAAAACUGUCGCGCAAGCUGUGAAGGUGCAAAUUCCUUCUCUGCCCACCA